AUUGAACGCUGGCGGCAGGCUUAACACAUGCAAGUCGAACGAGUGGCGGACGGGUGAGUAAUGCUUGGGCAUCUAGCUUCUGGAGGGGGAUAACUACUGGAAACUGUAGCUAAUACCUCGUACCAUAGGUUCAGCCCAAGUGGGAUUAGGUAGUUGGUGUGGUAAAGGCUCACCAAGCCGACGAUCUCUAGCUGGUCUGAGAGGAUGACCGGCCACACUGGGACUGAGACACGGCCCAGACUCCUACGGGAGGCAGCAGUGGGGAAUAUUGCGCAAUGGGGGAAACCUGACGCAGCAAUGCCGCGUGUAUGAAGAAGGCCUUCGGGUUGUAAAGCUCUUUCGGUAGAGAGGCGUUAACUAAAGAAGAAGCACCGGCUAACUCCGUGCCAGCCGCCGCGGUAAUAC
rnacentral:rRNA from 1 species